GGCGUGUCUCGCGGAGACUUCUUGGCCCUGGACCGCUACAAAACAGAACCGUCUGCGUCUAACAGUCCUUGGGGAGCCGGAGACUGUUGCCUGGACCGUGGGCUGACACAGGACAUUUCGGAAGUCCUCUCUCUGGCCAUGUGGCGGCCUCUUGUCCUACUCGCGCUCCUGCAGCUCCGGGCCGCCCAGGGCCCCCCCAUCCCGGGCCGCCAGGACAGCCUCCCCAGCUCGUCGCAAACUUUCAGCCGCCCCGCAUGGGCGGAGCAGACAGGAGAAAAGGAAGUCCUGAACCUGCCGAGAGAGCCCAAGCUGGAGGAGACACAGGCAUGUAGGCGGCCGCUGUCCCAAUCCUGGGCUCCCUCUGGCCUCCAGGCUCCAGAGGAGCAGCCCGGAAGCCCCAGAGGAGGACGACCGUGAAGGACAUCGAGGGUCACAGGCCGACCUGGGCAGGAUCUUCAGAGGGGCUCAGCAGGCUCCGGCAGCUGCCAUAGGUGCUGGGGCUGGGCAUACAGGUGUAACCCUCCUGACCCUGCUUCCAGUGCCAUCCGGAAAUAAAGUUCUUUUUGCAGCUUAGCAGUGCU